rnacentral:rRNA from 1 species
CUGGCUCAGAUUGAACGCUGGCGGCAUGCCUUACACAUGCAAGUCGAACGGCAGCACGGGGGCAACCCUGGUGGCGAGUGGCGAACGGGUGAGUAAUACAUCGGAACGUGUCCUGUAGUGGGGGAUAGCCCGGCGAAAGCCGGAUUAAUACCGCAUACGCUCUACGGAGGAAAGGGGGGGAUCUUAGGACCUCCCGCUACAGGGGCGGCCGAUGGCAGAUUAGCUAGUUGGUGGGGUAAAGGCCUACCAAGGCGACGAUCUGUAGCUGGUCUGAGAGGACGACCAGCCACACUGGGACUGAGACACGGCCCAGACUCCUACGGGAGGCAGCAGUGGGGAAUUUUGGACAAUGGGCGAAAGCCUGAUCCAGCAAUGCCGCGUGUGUGAAGAAGGCCUUCGGGUUGUAAAGCACUUUUGUCCGGAAAGAAAACCUCCGCCCUAAUAUGGUGGGGGGAUGACGGUACCGGAAGAAUAGCACCGGCUA